rnacentral:lncRNA from 1 species
CGGGAUCUUCCACGUUUUCAAGGAUAAAACUCAGCAAAAAAAGGGAAAGAAUCCCCCCAAACCCUUCCCGAAUGAUUCCUCCCCCAAUUCCAUGGGAUUUUGGGAUUUUUUUAAUUUUUAAUUGGAUUCAAACACACCAAACUCACAGGAAGGGCUGGGGGGGGAGGGGGGGUCACUCCUCCCUGGCUGGAUUUGGGAAUUCUGGGAUUCGGGAAUUCUGGGAUUCGGGAACAGGGACCAGCCCAGGGGGAGGAGCAGCCCCCAAAAAAAAGAGGGAAAAGGAUGAGCCUGGAUGAAUCCCAUGGGAUUUUUGGGAAGCACGGUGGCACCUCCAGGCUGAUUGCUGGGAAGGGAUUUAAUUCCCAAAGGAAGGGGGGAAAAGCCGGGAUUGGCAUUCCCGAGGAUUCCGGCGUUCCCGAGGGAGCUCAGCAUUCCCACAGGGAACGUCACUCCCCCUUCCCAAGGCUCCCGAGCCCGGGAAAGAGGAAAAAGGGAUGGGAAAAGCAGGAAUUUCCCUUCUCCGGGUGGAUCUGGGGCUCCAGCAUCCCUGGGGACACCGGGAAUGUCACCUGUCCCCCUCAGGAAAAGCGGGAAUGGCGCUGGGGAGCGGCUCCCCCGCUUCCUUCCUGAGGGAUUUUCACUCUUCCCGACCCUGCUGCUCCCAAAAUCCCGAGGCUGGAGCGGCGAUCCCGCUCUGGAAUCUUCUGGGAGCGUUUUCCGAGCGGAAUUCCAAGGAGGGAGUGGCAGGGACAGCCUGGGAGCGGCUUUUUCCAGGGAAUGUCACCUGGAGCCGCCUGGCACUGCUGUCCCCUCUCCCCCGGCCCCAGGAGAGGCUUUUCCUGCUCCUCCCCGAGCGGAUUUUUCCCUCUUCCCAAUCCCAAAGGGACAAGGAUGGCCCCGAUCCCAAAGGGAAUGGCAGCAGGGAUUUCAGGGAUAGCCCGAUCCCAAAGGGAAUGGGAACAGGGAGAUCCCAAUCCCAAGAAAAACAGGAGCAGGGAUUUCCAGGGAUAUCCCAAUCCCAAAGGAAAUAGGAGCAGGGAUAUCCCAAUCCCAAAGGAAAUGGCACCAGGGAGAUCCCAAUCCCAAAGGAUUCCAGGGAUAUCCCAAGUGAUUCCAGGGAUCUCCCAAUCCCAAAGGAAACGGCACCAGGGGUACCCGAGGGAGAUCCUGCUCUGGAAUCAUUUCGGGAUCACGCUCCGGGGGCGUUUCCCACGCGGCGGCUCCGGAAUUCCAGGGAGGGAACACCAAGGAGCUGCUGGGAGCUGCUGGGAGCUGCUGGGAGCUGCUUUUUCCAGGGAAUUUGGGGAAGGAGAAGGCGCCAUCAGUCCGACCUCGAGAAAUCCACGGAGACAGAAAAAGAGAGAGAGAGAGAGAGAGAGGGAGAGGAAAAAGAAGCGAAUCCCGCGUGGAGAAUUUUCCAGGGAGGAUUUUCCAGGGAGGAUUUUCCCGGGAGAAUUUUCCAGGGAGGAUUUUCCCGGGAGGAUUUUCCCGGGAGGGUUUUCCCAGGAGGGUUUUCCAGGGAGGAUUUUCCAGGGAGGGUUUCCCCGGGAGGGUUUUCCAGGGAGGAUUUUCCAAGGAGAAUUUUCCCAGGAGGAUUUUCCCAGAAGGAUUUUCCCGGGAGAAUUUUCCAGGGAGGAUUUUCCAGGGAGGGUUUUCCAGGGAGGAUUUUCCCGGGAGGAUUUUCCUGGGAGGAUUUUCCCGGGAGGAUUUUCCCGGGAGAAUUUUCCUGGAAGGAUUUUCCCAGGAGGAUUUUCCAGGGACGAUUUUCCCGGGAGGAUUUUCCCGGGAGGAUUUUCCUGGGAGGAUUUUCCUGGGAGGAUUUUCCCGGGAGGAUUUUCCUGGGAGGAUUUUCCUGGGAGGAUUUUCCCGGGAGGAUUUUCCUGGGAGGAUUUUCCAGGGAGGA